AGUGGCGGACGGGUGAGUAACGCGUGAGAAUCUGCCUUGGGGUCGGGGACAACCACUGGAAACGGUGGCUAAUACCGGAUAAGCCGAUUGGUGAAAGAUUUAUUGCCCGAAGAGGAGCUCGCGUCCGAUUAGCUAGUUGGUGAGGUAAGAGCUCACCAAGGCAGCGAUCAGUAGCUGGUCUGAGAGGACGAUCAGCCACACUGGGACUGAGACACGGCCCAGACUCCUACGGGAGGCAGCAGUGGGGAAUUUUCCGCAAUGGGCGAAAGCCUGACGGAGCAAGACCGCGUGAGGGAGGAAGGCUCUUGGGUUGUAAACCUCUUUUCUCAGGGAAGAAGCUCUGACGGUACCUGAGGAAUCAGCCUCGGCUAACUCCGUGCCAGCAGCCGCGGUAAUACGGAGGAGGCAAGCGUUAUCCGGAAUUAUUGGGCGUAAAGCGUCCGCAGGUGGCGAUUCAAGUCUGCUGUCAAAGCACGGGGCUUAACUCCGUAAAGGCAGUGGAAACUGAAUAGCUAGAGUGCCGUAGGGGUAGAGGGAAUUCCCGGUGUAGCGGUGAAAUGAGUAGAGAUCGGGAAGAACAUCGGUGGCGAAAGCGCUCUACUGGACGGCAACUGACACUCAGGGACGAAAGCUAGGGGAGCGAAUGGGAUUAGAUACCCC
rnacentral:rRNA from 1 species